ACAGCAGGGGCCUUUGCUGGCCCGGCUGACCUGGACGUCCAGGACGGAGGGGAGGGCUGCCUUGCCAGUCACCAUCUGGAUCAAGUAAGAGUCCAUUUCUGGGAAGGAGAGCUGCAAGGAUGAUGAUGAGGAGGAGGAGAUGCUGCUAAGAGUCCUACCAAGUUAUUGUCAGACUAACUUUCCCUCUGGGAAUCAUGGAUGGCUGGGGUCUUAAUGGGAAGCUGAUUUUGGGUCUGCCAUGUCUGGGUCUGAUGGACGCACCAGAAGAGUGACCCUCUGAAGCCCCAGCUGGGGGCAAGGCUGGCUGGCACUGUCCUGCCAGUUAGCCCCCAGCUCCCCGAUGGUAAGAAUCGGAUGCGGAAUCCCUGACCCAUAUCUGACGGUGGAACAAUCUUGCCACAAAAACCUUUACGAACAAACACUAGAUGUGCUCUGGACAUAGCAGAACAACCAGCUGAACCGGAUCUACCUUUGACUUGAUUGUUUGUCUAAAUUUAAGGAGCCUUGAGACCCAGAUCUUGUACAAAGGCAUCAUUCUCUGUUUCCUGGCAGGAGAAAGAACUGGCCAAGCCCUGGGAAACAUCAGCACUGGGUCAUUGAAUCCAGGCUGUUUCUCAGGGCUGGGGGCUUGGAGGUUUCUGAUUCAGGGGGUGCCAAAAACGAAAGACGACUUGACAGCAAAGACCAACAGAUGCAGUGGAUCCUGGAGAGGGCCACAGAGAUCUGAAACCAAGCUCAGCUGCUGGCAAGCAGGACAGAGAGUGAGUCAUUCUGCCAUGUUUGUUCUCUCCUAUUUCCACAUCUGAGGCAUUUGGUAAAGUUUGGAUGGAACAA